rnacentral:rRNA from 1 species
UACGUAGGGUGCAAGCGUUAAUCGGAAUUACUGGGCGUAAAGCGUGCGCAGGCGGUUAUGCAAGCCAGAUGUGAAAUCCCCGGGCUCAACCUGGGAACUGCAUUUGUGACUGCAUGGCUAGAGUACGGCAGAGGGGGAUGGAAUUCCGCGUGUAGCAGUGAAAUGCGUAGAUAUGCGGAGGAACACCGAUGGCGAAGGCAAUCCCCUGGGCCUGUACUGACGCUCAUGCACGAAAGCGUGGGGAGCAAACAGG